UACGUAGGGCGCAAGCGUUGUCCGGAAUUAUUGGGCGUAAAGAGCUCGUAGGCGGCCAGUUGCGUCCGCUGUGAAAUCUCGGGGCUUAACCUCGGGCCUGCAGUCGAUACGGGCAGACUAGAGUUCGGUAGGGGAGACUGGAAUUCCUGGUGUAGCGGUGACAUGCGCAGAUAUCAGGAGGAACACCGGUGGCGAAGGCGGGUCUCUGGGCCGAAACUGACGCUGAGGAGCGAAAGCGUGGGGAGCGAACAGG
rnacentral:rRNA from 1 species